AGUGAACGCUGGCGGUAGGCCUAACACAUGCAAGUCGAACGGCAGCACAGUAAGAGCUUGCUCUUACGGGUGGCGAGUGGCGGACGGGUGAGGAAUACAUCGGAAUCUACUUUUUCGUGGGGGAUAACGUAGGGAAACUUACGCUAAUACCGCAUACGACCUACGGGUGAAAGCAGGGGAUCUUCGGACCUUGCGCGAUUGAUUGAGCCGAUGUCGGAUUAGCUAGUUGGCGGGGUAAAGGCCCACCAAGGCAACGAUCCGUAGCUGGUCUGAGAGGAUGAUCAGCCACACUGGAACUGAGACACGGUCCAGACUCCUACGGGAGGCAGCAGUGGGGAAUAUUGGACAAUGGGCGCAAGCCUGAUCCAGCCAUACCGCGUGGGUGAAGAAGGCCUUCGGGUUGUAAAGCCCUUUUGUUGGGAAAGAAAAGCAGCAGGUUAAUACCCCGCUGUUCUGACGGUACCCAAAGAAUAAGCACCGGCUAACUUCGUG
rnacentral:rRNA from 1 species